UGGGGAAUCUUGCGCAAUGGACGAAAGUCUGACGCAGCAACGCCGCGUGGGUGAUGAAGGCCUUCGGGUCGUAAAGCCCUGUCAGAAGGGAAGAUAAUGACGGUACCUUCAAAGGAAGCACCGGCUAACUCCGUGCCAGCAGCCGCGGUAAUACGGAGGGUGCAAACGUUGUUCGGAAUCAUUGGGCGUAAAGCGCGCGUAGGCGGCGCCGUAGGUCGGGUGUGAAAUCCCGGGGCUCAACCCCGGAACUGCGCUCGAAACCCCGGUGCUUGAGUCUCGGAGGGAGAAGUGGAAUUCCUGGUGUAGGGGUGAAAUCCGUAGAUAUCAGGAGGAACACCGGCGGCGAAGGCGACUUCUUGGCCGAAGACUGACGCUGAGGUGCGAAAGUGUGGGGAGCAAACAGG
rnacentral:rRNA from 1 species